UACAAUAUCUUAUUCACAUAUUCUUGUACCUCAUAUACAUUUCUGCAUAUUUGCUAAAUUAUUCCUUCAGACAGAUCCGAUGUCAAAUUGGUGCCGCUACCCUGCAGGAAAAUGUCAACAAUGUGAGGAAAAGAGUGCUCACAAAUAGCCUCAUGUCUAUAAUGAACAUGGAUGGGACUGGUGACAAGCUGCCUUUCAGAAGAAUGGAACUUUAUAAGGUCGCAAUAGGUGCCAUCCAGAAGUCGCAACCCGGCAUCACAGAAGCUUCCAUUGGUAGCCUUACGGCCAACCAUUUGCGCGCUGCACCGGACAGAAGAGGGGGCACUGGGUGCCGGAAGGCACUUGAGAGCCCUGGAGGUGUGAACCCAUAGCGCCCCCACUGUAUUACACUGCUCAAAAAAAUUAAAUAAAAACAUAUCAGAUCUCAAA